CUCCGUCUCUUCUUUUCAACAGGCAUAUGUUAAUUUCUCUGAACAUUGGUUGGACAUUGCCCAUGUAACACUCCAACUCCUAUCACCUUAGCCCCAGAUGAUACCGAUGCGUCACCCAGUGUGUCGAGCAGUUGGCCAUGGUUGGGAGCCAGGGAGCAGCACGACAUGAGGGCACGACACUCAGGCAAGAACUUACUUUGCAGAGUUAGGUAAAUCUUAGGGCAAGCAGCUCGGAUUACUGAUGGCGUGGAUGGCCGCGAGGUACUUGAUCAACGGAUUAGAUGUGGAGUGGAGUCAAUGAAGGGAUGUGUAGCAGAUCAAGUGUGAAGGUUAGGGAAAUAGGUUAAGGGAAAGAUAUUGGACCGUCAACGCAAAUCGUGAUGUGGAUGGACGGUAUCAGCCAAGAAAUUGUUUACGAAGGCAAACAUUUGUAAUAGUUUCUGGUUCCCGUGGUAUCAGUAAAGGGGCACAAAAUCU